CCUACGGGAGGCAGCAGUGAGGAAUAUUGGUCAAUGGUCGGGAGACUGAACCAGCCAAGCCGCGUGAGGGAUGAAGGUACAGAGUAUCGUAAACCUCUUUUGUCAGGGAACAAAGGCGGGGACGUGUCCCCGGAUGAGUGUACCUGAAGAAAAAGCAUCGGCUAACUCCGUGCCAGUAGCCGCGGUAAUACGGAGGAUGCGAGCGUUAUCCGGAUUUAUUGGGUUUAAAGGGUGUGCAGGCGGUCUGUUAAGUCAGCGGUCAAAGCCCGGGGCUCAACCCCGGCCCGCCGUUGAAACUGGCAGUCGCGAGUUGGAGAGAAGUAUGCGGAAUGCGCGGUGUAGCGGUGAAAUGCAUAGAGAGCGCGCAGAACUCCGAUUGCGAAGGCAGCAUGCCGGCUCCACACUGACGCUGAGGCACGAAAGCGUGGGUAUCGAACAGGAUUAGAUACCCCGGUAGUC
rnacentral:rRNA from 1 species